rnacentral:rRNA from 1 species
AUCUACACACUGCAUAUCGUCGGCAGCGUCAGAUGUGUAUAAGAGACAGACUUAGUGGUUUGAAGGAUGUGAUGUUGCAUAAACAGCCAGGAUGUUGGCUUAGAGGCAGCCAUCAUUUAAAGAGUGCGUAAUAGCUCACUGGUCGAGUGAUAUCGCGCCGAAGAUGAUCGGGACUGAAGUCCAGAACCGAAGCCGCGGAUCGUGAAUUUAUUCACGGUGGUAGAAGAGCGUUGUAUGCGGGUCGAAGCCGAAGAGGGAUCUGAGGUGGACUGCAUACAAGUGACCAUGCAGGCAUGAGUAGCGAAAAACCGGAUGAGAAUUCCGGUCACCGAAAGACUAAGGUUUCCUGGGCAAGGUUCGUCCUCUCAGGGUUAGUCGGAACCUAAGGCGAGGCGGAAACGCGUAGUCGAUGGACAAUUGGUUAAUAUUCCAAUACCACCUUAUCGGAGUGAUGGAAGGACGCAGUUGCUAAUGUGAUUCUGGCUAUAUGCCAGUCGAAGAUCAUGGGACGCCGGGGGUUAAAUGACCCGGCAUCAGUCUGAAGAUUGACAGGCGGUGGAUCCUUCGGGUGAAUCCGUUUCACUGAUGCUAUACUGACGAGAAAAGCUCCUAAACGUUGAUGAUAGGGUGUCCGUACCGCAAACCGACACAGGUAGUCGAGGCGAAAAGCCUAAGGUGCGCGAGUGAAACCACUUCAAGGAACUCGGCAAAUUGGCCCCGUAACUUAGGGAGAAGGGGUGCCCGACGGGUGAAAGCCCGGAGGGUUUCAACAAAGAGGCCGCGGCGACUGUUUAACAAAAACACAGCUCUCUGCUAACUCGCAAGAGGAUGUAUAGGGAGUGACACGUGACCAAUGCCGAAAGGUCAAAUGGAUCCGUCAGCAGCAAUGCGAAGCGGUGAUAUGAAGCCCCGGUGAAUGUCGGCCGUAACUAUAACGGUCCUAAGGUAGCGAAAUUCCUUGUCGGGUAAGUUCCGACCUGCACGAAUCGUGUAACGAUCGCGGCACUGUCUCGAAGUGGAGCUCGGCGAAGUUGUAAUUCCGGUGAAAAUGCCGGAUACCUGCAGUAGGACGGAAAGACCCUGUGAACCUUUACUGUAAUCUGAUAUUGGUAUUCGUGUGUUCAUGUGUAGUAUAGGUGGGAGGCUUUGAAGCCGCCGCGCCAGCGGUGGUGGAGUCAUCAGUGAAAUACCACCCUUGAUAACUUGAAUAUCUAACUGAAGCCCGUGAAUCCGGGAUUGGGACAGUGUCAGAGGGUCAGUUUGACUGGGGCGGUUUCCUCCAAAACGGUAACGGAGGAGCACGAAGGUACACUCAGCACGGUUGGCAAUCGUGCACAGAGCGCAAGGGUAGAAGUGUGCUUAACUGUGAGACAAACAUGUCGAACAGAUACGAAAGUAGGUCCUAGUGAUCCAGCGAUGGAACGUGGAAUCGUCGUUGCUCAACGGACAAAAGGUACUCCGGGGAUAACAGGCUGAUAGCGCCCAAGCGUCCAUAGCGACGGCGCUGUUUGGCACCUCGAUGUCGGCUCAUCUCAUCCUGGGGCUGUAGAAGGUCCCAAGGGUCCGGCUGUUCGCCGGUUAAAGAGGUACGCGAGCUGGGUUCAAAACGUCGCAAGACAGUUUGGUCCUUAUCCACUGCAGGCGCAGGACAUUUGAUGAGAGCAUUCCUUAGUACGAGAGGACCGGGAAUGACCGACCGCUGGUAUUCCAAUUGUCUCUAAAGAGGCAGCGUUGGGUAGCUAUGUCGGGAAAGGAUAAGCGCUGAAAGCAUCUAAGCGCCAAGCCCCCUCAAAGAUGAUAUGUCCCGGACCGUAAGGUCCCUGAAGGCGGGUCGUAGACUACGACCUUGAUAGGAUAGAAGUGUAAGAACAGCAAUGUUUUCAGCUUACUAUUACUAAUACGCCGUGAGGCUUGACCAC